CCUACGGGUGGCAGCAGUGAGGAAUAUUGGUCAAUGGACGAGAGUCUGAACCAGCCAAGCAGCGUGAAGGAUGACUGCCCUAUGGGUUUUAAACUUCUUUUAUAUGGGAAUAAAAUGUUCCACGUGUGGGAUUUUGUAUGUACCAUAUGAAUAAGGAUCGGCUAACUCCGUGCCAGCAGCCGCGGUAAUACGGAGGAUCCGAGCGUUAUCCGGAUUUAUUGGGUGUAAAGGGAGCGUAGGUGGAUUGUUAAGUCAGUUGUGAAAGUCCGCGGCUCAACCGUAGAAUUGCAGUUGAAACUGGCAGUCUUGAGUACAGUAGAGGUGGGCGGAAUUCGUGGUGUAGCGGUGAAAUGCGUAGAUAUCACGAAGAACUCCGAUUGCGAAGGCAGCUCACUGGACUGCAACUGACGCUGAGGCUCGAAAGUGUGGGUAGCAAACAGGAUUAGAUACCCUUGUAGUC
rnacentral:rRNA from 1 species